rnacentral:rRNA from 1 species
UUCCAGACUCCUACGGGAGGCAGCAGUGGGGAAUAUUGCACAAUGGGGGAAACCCUGAUGCAGCGACGCCGCGUGAGUGAAGAAGUAUUUCGGUAUGUAAAGCUCUCUCAGCAGGGAAGAAGAAGGACGGUACCUGAGUAAGAAGCCCCGGCUAACUACGUGCCAGCAGCCGCGGUAAUACGUAGGGGGCAAGCGUUAUCCGGAUUUACUGGGUGUAAAGGGAGCGUAGACGGCGAAGAAAGUCUGAAGUGAAAGCCCGCGGCUCAACCGCGGAAUGGCUUUGGAAACUUUUUUGCUGGAGUACCGGAGAGGUAAGCGGAAUUCCUAGUGUAGCGGUGAAAUGCGUAGAUAUCAGGAGGAACACCGGUGGCGAAGGCGGCCUGCUGGACUGCAACUGACGUUGAGGCCCGAAAGCGUGGGGAGCAAACAGGAUUAGAUACCCCGGUA